GCAUUAUACCGCGAAACUGCGAAUGGCUCAUUAUAUAAGUUAUCGUUUAUUUGAUAAUACUUUACUACUUGGAUAACCGUGGUAAUUCUAGAGCUAAUACAUGCUAAAAAUCCCGACUUCGGAAGGGUUGUAUUUAUUAGAUUAAAAACCAAUGCCCCUCGGGGCUCUCUGGUGAAUCAUGAUAACUAGUCGAAUCGACAGGCCUUGUGCCGGCGAUGGCUCAUUCAAAUUUCUUCCCUAUCAACUUUCGAUGUUUGGGUCUUGUCCAAACAUGGUGGCAACGGGUAACGGAGGGUUAGGGCUCGACCCCGGAGAAGGAGCCUGAGAAACGGCUACUACAUCCAAGGAAGGCAGCAGGCGCGCAAAUUACCCAAUCCCGACACGGGGAGGUAGUGACAAUAAAUACUGAUACAGGGCUCUUUUGGGUCUUGUAAUCGGAAUGAGUACAAUUUAAAUCCCUUAACGAGGAACAAUUGGAGGGCAAGUCUGGUGCCAGCAGCCGCGGUAAUUCCAGCUCCAAUAGCGUAUAUUAAAGUUGUUGUGGUUAAAAAGCUCGUAGUUGAACCUUGGGCCUGGCUGGCCGGUCCGCCUCACCGCGUGCACUGGUCCGGCCGGGCCUUUCCCUCUGCGGAACCCCAUGCCCUUCACUGGGUGUGGCGGGGAAACAGGACUUUUACUUUGAAAAAAUUAGAGUGCUCAAGGCAGGCCUAUGCUCGAAUACAUUAGCAUGGAAUAAUAGAAUAGGACGUGUGGUUCUAUUUUGUUGGUUUCUAGGACCGCCGUAAUGAUUAAUAGGGACAGUCGGGGGCAUCAGUAUUCAAUUGUCAGAGGUGAAAUUCUUGGAUUUAUUGAAGACUAACUACUGCGAAAGCAUUUGCCAAGGAUGUUUUCAUUAAUCAGGAACGAAAGUUAGGGGAUCGAAGACGAUCAGAUACCGUCGUAGUCUUAACCAUAAACUAUGCCGACUAGGGAUCGGACGAUGUUACAUUUUUGACGCGUUCGGCACCUUACGAGAAAUCAAAGUGC
rnacentral:rRNA from 1 species